CACCCUGUGUCCCCACUCGUCAAAGACACAGCCAAAAUUCCUCCUUCUAUUUCACCCGUGAAGAGCCACCGCCCACGCCGCAUAUCUCUUAUGCCCCGAUUCAACUGGCUCGCUUCUCCCCAAGAUUACAGCCCCAAUUGGAACGACUGGCGGCGGCAGAUCGGGGGAGGUCGCCCUACAGGCCAAGCUCGGAUCCACGCAAACAUCCCGCCCUGCGAGGAUCCGGCCCUCUUCUCCCCCCAAUUGCAGCGACCAGGACGCCCGCUUGAAGGAGGCCGCCCCGCCGCCGAGCUUAGAUCCACCGCAUCAACCCACCCAGCGAGCACCAUGUUGUCUUUUCCCCAACGCCUGGCGACAUCUCUCGGAAGGGGCUUUGAGAGAUGAAGAGGAAGCCACCCUUUCUAUGUCCAAAGCAAUGGUACCUAAAGGUUGUACCAUGCCAAAAACGAAAACACAAAACUGAGAAGCUGUCGAGCAUCACCAAAAGACUGGAUCUAGGUCUUAUGUUUGCACUUUCAGCAAAAUUCUAAGAAUUCCAAAUACUUUACUUCUAGUCCUAUGUCUAUCACAUCUUGUCAUUAUAUAUGGAGCAGUACUGUUAGAUUUUCAUAUAUCUUGUAGAAAAAGGCAAGUACAAUAAUCAGAACCCAAGUCUUGAGUUUUUCAAAGAGACACAUACGAAUAGGAAGACUGACAACAUGAGCGAGCCGACACAUCUAGCCUAUAAUGCGACUGAAAAGAAAAGGGAAACACAAUCAGAAGGUGAGUAACCAGUGUGCGACUCAAUGAUUGUGGCUGAAGUUCUAAAGGAAGAAAGCACCCAUAGCACCUUCCUUUCCAGCAUGAGUUAUGCAUCAAGAUACGAGAGAUUUGGGAGCUUUACUUCAUCAGCACAGAUUUGAGUUCUAUAAUAAAGAAUUAAACAAAAGGAUGGUGAGGCUAGAGAUGCGAGGGACAGGCACUGAUAGGAGUUAGUGGCGAGACUUGAAGCACAAGCAAAGAGCAUUUGAAGAGAUGCGGAGGAAGCAACACGAAGAAUUUGAAUAUGUGAAGAAGAUCCGGCAAGAGAAGAAUAAAGCCUGGAAAAAGGAUUAACAAGAGACGAAUAACCUGAUUGGUUUUCUCUUAAGUGCUCAAGCAACUUAGCAGUCCCAAUCCACACCUAAUGGUGCAUGAAGGCCAUCCUUUUGCGAUGGAAAGAUAGUUGUUGCAUCAUAUAUUGCAAUCAUCAGGAUAGCACAUGUGGUCUUUACUUAUCUAAAUAUUGCUUUUUAACUUGUCUAUUGUUGUCUCAAACUCGUGAGCUAGUGUUACUUUUUACUAUCAUUUAUGUUGAGAGGACGGUUGAGAUGAGAUGAUGAAGUAUAUAAUAUUGUAAAUUUAUGAUGUGAUUUGGAUCUUAACUUAUUUAUAUAAUGUGAUAUGAAUUAAA
rnacentral:rRNA from 1 species